UGGGGAAUAUUGCACAAUGGAGGGAACUCUGAUGCAGCGACGCCGCGUGAACGAAGAAGGCUUUCGAGUCGUAAAGUUCUUUUACAUGGGAAGAUAAUGACGGUACCAUAAGAAAAAGCCCCGGCUAACUACGUGCCAGCAGCCGCGGUAAUACGUAGGGGGCUAGCGUUGUCCGGAAUCACUGGGCGUAAAGGGUUCGCAGGCGGAAAUGCAAGUCAGGUGUAAAAGGCAGUAGCUUAACUACUGUAAGCAUUUGAAACUGCAUAUCUUGAGAAGAGUAGAGGUAAGGGGAAUUUUUAGUGGAGCGGUGAAAUGCGUAGAUAUUAAAAAGAAUACCGGGGGGGAAGGCGGCUUACUGGGCUCAUUCUGACGCUGAGGAACGAAAGCGGGGGUAGCAAACAGG
rnacentral:rRNA from 1 species